GGCUGGUCUGAUGGUGGUGCAUUAUCAGAACGUGCUAACCUUAGUGUCACUAAAGUUGGUAUCCAACCCCCCCAAACUGCUAAAUUUAAAUGGCUUUAA
ensembl:misc_RNA Y_RNA Y RNA